rnacentral:misc_RNA from 1 species
AACCAUAGAAACCUGCGGAGUACCUGCGGAGGGAUCAUUAACGAAUUUCAGGGGUUGUGCUGGUUCUUACAAGUGCACACCUCUUAAUUCCAUUCACACCCACCGUGCACUUUAAGAGACGUAUUUCCCCCGUUUACGUGCCUUCAUUGGCUUGGGAUUUCGUCUGUUUCAUACACUCUUAUUCGUAUUAGAAUGUAAUCAGCGGAAACGCUAAAACAUAAUAUAACUUUCAACAACGGA